rnacentral:lncRNA from 1 species
GGGAAACUUAUCUUCGGCCCGGAGAAGAGGCAAAUCAAAGUAUGAGAGAAACAUCAAGGUAUUCUCUAGAGUCUCAAGAUCUGCUGUGUCAAAACAAGAACAGGAGGUGGGUCUUACUAAAGGGCCGAUUUUGCCAGCACUUGAGUGAGAAGAUAUUUUUAACAAUCCAAAAUGUCUGAAAGUGGGCAGCCUUUGGUUAAAGAUGACAUUUUGACGCACUCGUUUAUCCUGGCUCUCUUCUUAAAUGCCAAUACAGUGGGAGCGACUGAAAUCUUAGUGUAGUAUGUGGCCUAAACUCUCAACAAGAAGAGGAGAAGGGAAGAGAGGAAUAUUAAAAGCCAGGAAGUUCCUGGAAAGCUGUUUCUACUGGCAUCAGAAGACCGAGAACACUGAUCCAUAAACUGAAAAGAGCAAGAUUUGCAGUCAGAAGGGGUCGGGACUCUGCAACUUUGGAACAGGGUGAAGUUGAGCCUAAAAGAGGAGAGUUUGUUGGAAAUCUGACUAAGGGCAAGGGAAAGUCUCACUCACAUGAUAUCUCUCCUGUUUCCUAGACUAGAACUGGCAGUAUACUCUCUGAAGGCAGCCAAUGGAACAGGUUCUGGACUAGUGGAUACUGGGGACAGCUGGAAAAAGGCACUUCUCAUGGAAAACAGGCGGGGAGAUUAAAUAAAAGUCAGCACACUCCUGUUCUUCUCCCCAGAAUGUUGACCUCAUGCCCACCUUCUAGAUGCCUAAUGUUAGAAUUUAAAAUGUGCUCAACAGCUUUUAGUUAUUACACAAAACACUUGAGAGAGGAUUGGGGUGUGUGUGGGGGAUGCAGGACAGGUCUGUCAUGGGUAUCCAAGCUGAGUUUAAUGUUAAGAUAUUUACUGAGCAUAUACUCUGCCCCAAAUAGCAACCUAUAUGCUCUGAUGAUUCAAGAGUGAGUAAGAUUCAGUGUGCCCAUCUCUCAGUAACCCAGAGGGGAAGGAACAGUGUGUGCAGAGACACACAGUAGUGAAAUAGCAUGGUGAAUUGGUGGAACUGCAAGCAGCUUGCUCUCAUUGGUAUAGAAAGUAGAUGCGGGGGAGUGUGGGAGGAGAGGAAGCCAAAGAGAUGCUCUGUGCUUAUGUCCCUGUUUUCCUUAGCCUGUACUCUGUCAAAAUGUGUGUUAUGUUUUAUGUGUAUAUA